rnacentral:rRNA from 1 species
UACAGAGGGGGCGAGCGUUGUUCGGAAUUACUGGGCGUAAAGGGCGCGUAGGCGGCCUUCUAAGUCGAACGUGAAAUCCCCGGGCUCAACCCGGGAACUGCGUCCGAUACUGGGAGGCUUGAAUCCGGGAGAGGGAUGUGGAAUUCCAGGUGUAGCGGUGAAAUGCGUAGAGAUCGGGAGGAACAUCAGUGGCGAAGGCGGCCAUCUGGGACAACACUGACGCUGAGGCACGAAAGCGUGGGGAGCAAACAGGG